rnacentral:rRNA from 1 species
UACGUAGGGUGCGAGCGUUGUCCGGAAUUACUGGGCGUAAAGCGCGCGCAGGCGGUCUUCCAAGUCAGUGGUGAAAGCCCGGAGCUCAACUCCGGAACUGCCAUUGAAACUGUAAGACUUGAGGAUGAGAGAGGUGAGUGGAAUUCCCAGUGUAGAGGUGAAAUUCGUAGAUAUUGGGAAGAACACCGGUGGCGAAGGCGGCUCACUGGCUCAUAUCUGACGCUCAGGCGCGAAAGCGUGGGGAUCAAACAGG